GCCACUGCUAUUAUUACAGGUAAUAAUAAUAGUAAUAAUGAUAACAUAAUGUUAUCCAUUGUUUGAUCUGUCAUCAAGUUUUUGUUUUUUCUAUCCUCCACAGAAUAAGCAAACAUUUAGAGAAUUGUGUAUAUUCCCAGCAAAAGUGGAUAGACUCAGCUUUUGUCAAAGUAAUGCUGCAGCGAUGAGAUGGAGAAUUCUACUUCCAGUUAUUAAUUACCCCACAUAUUCCACAGAACUGAUAAAGUUUUCAUGGAAUGAACUACAAAGCAUGGAGGCAAAGCAUGAAAAUCAGACUGUGGAAGUUCUCUGAACCUAAAGUGUGCUCUGUCAAAGAAAUGAGAGCAAAGCUACAUGAAGUAAUAACUUGUACUUUUUUAGGAAUAGCAAAGCAGCAGAGGUAAUUAAGAAUAAUGUAUAAAAAGGUAGAAUCAACAUAACUCAUAUAAAAAGGUUAAUAAGGUUUAUCACCUAGACCAAUCUUGAGGCAGGUUUGAAAUUGUGUGUGUUUGGAAGGCACCAAAGCAGGUGAUUAGAUACAAUAUUUAGCUUGAUGUGCAGGGAAAGCAACUGGGAUGAAGCAAAUCAGUUUCCUGGACUCUAAUGCAGGGAACGUGGAGGGUUUUAUUAAAUAUAAUGUUAAAUUUAGAUUUAUGGCUCCUGUUGAUCCACUAGAAUAAACUGACAUUGUCCUAUCA
rnacentral:lncRNA from 1 species